UACGUAGGGUGCAAGCGUUAAUCGGAAUUACUGGGCGUAAAGCGUGCGCAGGCGGUUUUGUAAGUCUGUCGUGAAAUCCCCGGGCUCAACCUGGGAAUUGCGAUGGAGACUGCAAGGCUAGAAUCUGGCAGAGGGGGGUAGAAUUCCACGUGUAGCAGUGAAAUGCGUAGAGAUGUGGAGGAACACCGAUGGCGAAGGCAGCCCCCCUGGGGCCAAUACUGACGCUCAUGCACGAAAGCGU
rnacentral:rRNA from 1 species